rnacentral:lncRNA from 1 species
CUUUUUUCUUUUUUUCUUUUUAGGCCCACACCUGUAGCAUAUGGAAGUUCCCCGGCUAGGGGUCAAAUCGGAGCUGCAAUUGCCAGCCUAUGCCACAGCUACAGCAAUGCAGGAUCCAAGCCACAUCUUCACCCUAUAUCACAGCUCACAGCAAAACCAGAUCUUUAACCCACUGAACGAGGCCAGGGAUAGAAUUUGAAUCCUCAUGGAUACUAGUCGGGUUCGAAACCCACUGAGCCACAACGGGAACUCCAAAAACAUUUUUCUUAAAGUUUGAAAUCACUCUUUAUGUAGGCUCUUCUCUUUCUUAAAUCAGGACAGAUAACAAUUACUAAGGAAUAAAAGAUAAUACAAAAUUAAUUGCUCUUUAUUAUUUUCUAUGCUAUUAGGAUUAGAAAAGCAUGAUAACAUCUGAUUUUUUUUUCUAUUUUAGGGCCGCACCUGUGGCAUAUGGAGGUUCCCAGCCUAGGGGUCCAAUCAGAGCUACAGCUGCUGGCCUAUGCCAGAGCCACAGCAACUUCAAAACCGAGCCGCAUCUGCCACCUACACCACAGCUCAUGGCAAUGCCGGAUCUUUAGCCCACUGAGCAAGGCUAGGGAUCGAACCUGCAUCCUCAUGAUUCCUAGUCGGGUUCAUUAACCCCUGAGCCACAAAGGGAACUCUAAUAACAUCUGAAUUUUUAAAAAUCACGUCUUCAUUUGGAGUUUUGGAUAAUGGUUCAUUAUUAUUAUUUACAUAUAAUCAUUCUUUCUGAUAACAAAUUCAUUAACUUAUUUGACUGUUAUCAAUAGACUGGGUUCCACAGGCAAUUGACUUAGGUUUUACGUUUCUUUGCAGAAUGAAGCAAAUUGUCACCUACUGUCCUGGGAAAGCAAAAAAUUCAAUAGAGAAAUUUCUGGGGUUUUGUUUUUCUUUUUUUGACCGCCCUGCAGCAUGUGUUAUUCCUGGGCCAGGGAUUGGAUCCCGGCAACACAGGAUCCUUUAUCCCACUGUUAUGGGCCAGGGGUUGAACCUGCGUCCUGGCGCUGCAGAGAUGCUGCCGAUCCUGCUGCGCCACAGCAGGAACUCCAAGAGAGGAGUCUUGACAACCGCUUUUACAGCAUUCAACAAACUCAUAUCUUUGAGUGCUUUACUUUGUGAGGCCGGCUCAUGAGUGAGAGCCUGGAGUGAGGGAGAAAGCAUGGGAGACUGUGAGCCAAGGGGCAGUCCUGGGGCUUCUGCUAACCAGGAGCCAGAUCCCAGACAGGUACAUUAUUUAGAUUACCUGAUCAUCAACAUUCCAUGAACUAGGUACAUACUACUUAGUGUGCAUUGUACUAGAGGACACAUUUAGGCACAGAGAAGUUAAAUAACACGCUGAAGGCCACACAGCCUAGUAAGUGCCGGAACCAGAAUUCUAGCCAAGGCCAUCUGUCAUAGUCUGUAUGAAGUAACACCUGUUAGUAGUGGUGCCCUGGCAAAGGCAGAGGGGAACGAGAGGGAGCCAAGGGAGCCCAGGCUAGGGAGCCUCUGGGGAGCCGGUGGGUAGGCUGGGAGGCUCGUGUUACACAUUGCAUCCAACUCUAGGCCAAAUUUGAGGAGCAGAGAUAAGAUCCUCCCUUGUUUCCAGCUGCGCGACUUGGGCCAGACCCAGAAGCUGCCGCCCUUUCCCGUGGCCGUCUUGCACUGAACAUUCAGUGUCAAGGAGGUCUUGUUCAUAAUGCAGGCUUGGAAUACAAGCAGGAUGGCGGUUUUGAAGAGAUGCCUGCCCGCCUGGCUCCCCUGGCUGAACACAGGCAGGAGGAGGAUGACAGUAAGACAUCCAAGAGGCCAGGGGAGCUGAAGGCGGCCAGCCGCCAAGAGAGUGGGCUGUGGAUUCCAUUAGGAUGUAUGAAGAAUAAAAACCAAGAAGACUGAAAAGCUGAGGACAUGAGGAUGUGGCAGAAGCCAAGAGACUGUGGAGAAAUGCCAGUCAGAGAUGGGCUACCUACUGACAUGAGUUAAAAGAAAAAGACAGAAUAAAUAGCAGUAGGUUAAAACUGGGGAAGGAGCAUGAAGAAAACUGUGAAAACAGAUGAGUAGGGAUCACAAGAAGUGAUGCUGGAAUAGAGCAAGGCCCUAAGGGGCUGACCUCCCAGGACAGACCUCCCCAGGUCCUCUGCCUGUGUCCUGUCUGUAGAAAAACUUUAGGGGAAGAAGAAAUUCAGUCAGAAAAAUGAGAAAACGCAGAAACAAAGGAAAUUGUCAAGCAAGACAAAAUGAUAAUACUUUAGCCAUCAAACAAAGUCAAGGACAUUUCGUUCCUCUUCAAGGACUAGAGAUAAUAUUCUGAACCAUGUCCUUGGAGCUGGUUUGCAGGUACGAAAACCCCCACCAGGUGGAAGAAGUUAAUUACAUGAUGGCCAGACUGCAUCCAGGACAUAAGCUGCUCCAUCUCACAGAAUUCUGAGAACUGUCCUCAAGGAAAUGGGAACAAACUGACCCUGGAAUUGAAGACUAACUGUACUUAAAACAAGAUGAGGCAAAAAAGAAUAUUUGUGUGUGUGUGUGUGUGUGUGUGUGUGUGCGCGCGUGCCCGUGUGUAUGUGUAUGUAUGUAUAUAGAGCAGAAAGAGGUACAAUACUACAAAUCAACUAUACUUUGAUUGAAAAAAUUAAAAAUAAAAGUAAAAAAACAAGACGAAGCUGAUCAGACCACCACAUGACAAAUUUAAAGAUACUGUCAGAGCUGACUGUGCUGUUCCGCACAUAGUCACCACCCCUACCCCACUUAUACACCCCUGAAAACUCCCAUUAAAAUCUCUUGUCCACAGAUUGACAAUGUAGGGGAGUUGGCUUUUGGACAUGAGUCCACCUUGUCCCUAGGAUGCUGGCCUCCUGAAUGAAGCAAUCUUUUCUUUCCCACCAAUACUUGUCUCUAAAGUAAUCGCUUUCCAGGGGCAAGUAGUCGAACCUGAGUUUGGUAAUAAUUCCUUUGAGGGGGAAAAAAUUUACCUGGAGAUGAAAGUCACUAGGACAGAAAAACCUCCCAAGUGGGAUGUGCUUGUGUAUGACAUAGUUCUGAGGUGACACUUGCACAUGAUUACUGGGGAACACCUGUGAGUCCAUAUUGGAAACACAAUAGCAUGUUUCUGCUGCCAUUAUCCCUGGCCUCCUAUCUGUGAGAAUGUAAGUUAUAUGACGGUCAAAACCAUGAUGACAUUACUUCAGGACCCAGCACAAUACUUGGGACAUAGUACAUGCUCAGUUAGCAUUUCUUCAAUUUAAAAAAAAAAAGAAAGAAAGAAGGAGGGAAGAAAGAAGGAAGGAAGGAAAGGAAGGAGGGAAGGAGGAAAGAAGGCAGGGAGGGAGGGGAAGCUGUGGACAAGGGAAACUCUGCCUGGCCGGCCAGACUGUCCAUCUUUAGGAGGGUUACAAGCAAAUGACUUCCUGCCUCUUCUUCCUCCUCUCCCAACACACACACUGCAGUUCCAUGCCACCUGCUCAAACUACAAAAGGAGGCCAAACAACCCAGGGUGUGCACAGCAAAGCACGGAGGAGGUUUGGGGAGCCUGCACCCCCGAAUCCAGGCUUCUUGGGUCAUCCCAGUGCACUAGGUCAGUCUUUACAGUCUCUGUGGCUGCCCUGGAGUUGACUUCUGAGCCUUAGGAGUCUUCAAAACCCAACCCAACCAGCAAGCUGGUUUAACGCACACUCACAAGUUCUCCACUGCUCAGUGAACCCCAUGCCACACCAGGAAUUUGGUGGGGCCUCCCCUCUUCAAACACUGUCUCUGCUCCCACAUAGGAACACCACUGGGAUUAUGGUCAAGGGCGCAGAGGGUUGAACCUGGUUUUCAGUCAGCAUAGGCUAGUGCAUGCUGCAGUAACAACCCCAAAAGCUCAGUGACUGAAAAACAAGGUGUAGGGAGUUCCCACUAUGGCACAGCAGAAACGAUUCCAACUAGUAUCCAUGAGGAUGCAGGUUCAAUCCCCGGCCUUGUUCAGUGGGCAUUGCCAUGAGCUGUGGUGUAGGUGGCAGACAUGGCUCGGAUUCCACGUUGCUGUGGCUGGCAGCUACAGCUCCAAUUUGACCCCUAGCCUGGGAACUUCCAUACACCACAGGUAUGGCCCUAAAAAGCAAAAAAACAGAAACAAAAACAAAAAAAACCACAAAAAAACAAAAACCAAGGUGUAAUUCUCACUCACACUACCUAUUCUUCACCAGUUGGCUGAGUCUCCAUUCUCCAUGUCUUUCUCUGGGAUCCAGGCUAAAAGAGCAACCAUCCUGUAUCUAUGGCAGAGGGAAUGGAAACUGAGGAGGUUCUCAUGCUGGCAUUUAAAUACUUCCAUUUGGAAGUCACACUCAGCAAUCACCUGCAUGCAAUCAUUGGCUGGAAGAGUCACUCGGCCCCACACAGCCUCGUGGGCUCUGGGAAUACAGUCCUACCACAGGUCAGGAAGGUGGAGAGCUGGAAAUAGUGACCCCAGUCUAGAACCGAGCCUUAGAGGUGCAACCCAAUUCAUCCUAAACCCCUUCCCCUCAGCAAAGUGUUAAGGGCUGGAUGCCCUCCCCCAGGGAACUAGGAGGAGGCCCUAGCUAGAAGGAUGGAGGUACUUUCUAGUCAAGUCUGACACACACAGGGGAUCCCUGUCCCACACUUUAACAUCCAGACUCUUUGUCUGCCCUGCAGUCAGCUCUCCCGAGGCAGGGAUAGCUCUGAGAAGGACAAUGCCGAGGAAGUCCUGCUGUCCUGUGACCCCAGCCAGGAGAACGGUCUCCUCCAUGCAGGACACCCAUGAAGGUCCUGUGAGGGGCAGCACUGAAGUAAAUACCUACAACAAAUGGGAGGCCUUGAGGAUUCAUAUCCUUUUUUAAAAAAUGGAGUUCCCACUAUGGUGCAAUGGGAUUGGUGGCGCCUUAGGAGAACUGGGAUGCAGGUUCCAUCCCUAGCCCAGCACAGUAGGUUAAGGACCCAGCAGCAUUGCUGCAGCUAUGGCUUAGGUCACAACUACGGCUCAGAUCUGAUCCCUAGCCCAGGAACUCCAUAUGCCAUAGGGCAACUAAUAAUAAUAAUAAUAACAAUAGACAUUUGCUCUGCCCUCAUUUUAGGAACCAAGGAACAUUAUUCCUAAUUGAGCAGUCUUCGUGUCAAAACUAAGAUGUGUAUGGCUUGCUGGGCUGAGACUAAGAGGAGGCAGGGUGGACGGGGACUAGGAGGCAGAAGGGAAAGGGAGGUGCUGGAGAGAGAAACACGAUGUGGCAGACAGAGGAAGAAGGCAGUGGCCAGUAGACAGCCUCAGCUGUGGAGAGAGAGCAGGGG